rnacentral:lncRNA from 1 species
CCGAGUGGGGGGUUUUUUUGAGAAUUUGCUCCUGGACUGCUCAUUUUGUAUAGUACUAUUGCUAAUUUGUUCUCUUUUCAGCCUGAGGCCGUACAGUUUGAAUGUUAAUUCCUCUGCUCUCUUAUCCAUCUUAAUAAUCUAUGGUCUUGUCGAAAUCCUCAUAAUAAUACUUUACUCUCUAUUUCUCUAAGAAUAAUUUCUGCUAAGGGGGCUGCCAUAGGACUUCUUAUUGGGAUCCCCUUAGUUUGCUGAUAGUAGUUGCCCCAAAAUAUAUAAAAUGAUUUGUGGCAAAUGAUGUAAGUGAGUUCUCGUGAAAGCAGUGCUCUUUCUUGCGAGUUGGGUGUAUUUAUUUGCAUGAAUCUAUAAAACGCUAAACUUGUUGGUUCUAGCUCAAGGGAAGACUAGAGACUUUCAAAAUCAAAUGUUCACAUGACAUUUUGUUGCUGCCAGUCGAUUGCUCAUAGCCUUGCCAAGGCUUAUGUUGUUAUUGUGGUGCAAUUAUCAGUUCGGCCUAAGAUAGCCACUGAUAAUUCCAUCACAAUAGCCAUAAACAGGGCACCAAUGAUUUUCGGUGAAUUAUGCAACGGAGGGGACCCUGGGAAGGACAGGGAGAGGGCGGGUGUUUAUAGAGUCCCUGUGAAGGGUAUUAUCAUGCAACAGUAAGCAGCCUACAUU